rnacentral:antisense_RNA from 1 species
UCGGGGGCUCCACCACCGCGCGCUCCCACCCUCAAGGUCUGCAGGACACACCAAAGAAGUCCUCCAAGUCACACAAGGGAGAAAAUUAACUUCAUUGGCUUCUAUCAGGAAAGCUAUUUUUUUUUCCUCUUCUUUCCUGCAAGUUUCCCAAACCCCAUGACUCUGAUUUCCAGGUCAGAGACUAAGGUUUUAUUUUUCUUACUCUGUAUACUUUAUAUGUGGAGAGUCCCUGAAGGAAUAUUGUGAUGGGCUGAUUACUGUGAGCCAGUUGUGGGCCACACCUGGCCUCAGGUGCUGCAAAGGGAAUUCAGUCACCCCUGUGCCAUGAUCUGUGAGCCCCAAGUCAGAUCCGACUUUUUCCUGAUAGACAGCACCCUCCUCCUCCCUACCAAGAAAUAGCAGGGUUGGAGGUAGUGACCCAAUAUUUAAGAGGUUUGAAAUUCUACAUGAGAUAUUUCUGAGUUAACUCCUAAAUAGCAGUUUCCUUAAUCAUGUGGAAAAUAAGAACACUUGCUAAAAAGACCAUUGGUUUAAGAGAAAUGGAAACUUAUGUCCACGUAAAAACUUGUAAAUGAAUGUUCACAGCAGCCUUUUCAUAAUAGCCAAAAAGGGAAAGCAAUCCAAAUGUCCAUCAACCAAUGAACGGAUAAACUUAAUGUGGGAUAUACAUGUAAUGGAAUGCUAUUUGGUGAAGAAAGAAAUGAAAUAUUAAUACAUGCGUUAACAAGGAUGGACCUUAAAAUAUCAUGCUAAGUAAGAGAAGCCUGUCACAAAAGAAUAUGUAUUGUAGCA